CUUCUCAUCUGUGUCAAUGACAAGAAAAUUUAUAUUAUAAAAGUGUUUGGUCUAAUCUAGUAUGCAAGACUAACUCUAGUAUAGUUCAUUCAUUAUAAAGCCUACUGUGCUCAGUCACCAUCCCCCUCUCACAAGCCUGCUUUAAAUCUGAAAGCCUGUCUCCCCUGUUUCGGCGUGGUGAGUGAAAUGGAGAAGGCUAAACUUUUUCUUCCCACAUGCUCACUUCCUCGCUUGUUCGCUAGCUGCUGCAUCUGGCCCCUCAAGGGUCAAGUCAAGGGGAAAAGGAGAUUGAGAGGAAGGGCAGUCUGUGAAUUGAACAACUUCUCAAAUCACUAGUCACAUCCUGGUAGAAAUCAAGCAAUGAAGAUGGCACAGAAACACAUCCCAAAUACUAUGAUACCAUAAAGUAUACUGUAGCAAUGCAUCUGACACACCCUCAUUUGAACGUCUGUCUCAGAAGAUUUUGACAGAAGAUAAAACUGUCUAGUUUUUAUUUCAUUGGUUUCAUGAAAAUUUAUUUCACUGGUUUCAUGUCACAGGCCCAUGACUGUAUAAAGAGUCAUAAGCUUUACAAACACAACAGUGACUUACAGAGACAUGUUGCAAAGCUGUAAUCGAAAACACUGAUGUUAAUUUCAGAGGCCAUUAAUGGUGUUAAGAAGGAGCUUUUGUUAACCAAAUAAUUGAAUACUCAUAAUUA